CUUACAAAUCACUUGGUUUCAACUUUCAACUUGAGGUGAUGGUUUUAAAAUUUUAUGUGAGUUCUUUGAUGAUGCUUUGGGUGGGAGUUUGGUGUUUCUCCAUAACCUGCAUAGGAGGACCAAAGCUUGAAUUACAAUUAGAGCAUCAAAGGAAGGAGAUGUGGACAUGCAUGACUUAAUUGG